UUUGGUUUCACUGAAUCGUAAACUCCAAUUCUGCAGGACGACGACGCGAGAUAUGACGUCGGGAAACAUUUUUAUAUAAAAGGGGUCGCUUGAAACAUUCAGCUUUACAAUUGUUCCUAAAACAAUGUAAGCCAUUGUGGGGAGGAAGUGAAAUAUGCUGGAAUACCAUAUAAAUUACUGCGUGGGAGGAGAGGUGUUGGCAGGAAUUUCGCGACGCAAUUACGUAAAUGUAAAGUGUGCUAGAAUAAAUUUUUGACACGCAAGGGUUUUAGUUUUAAUGCAACGAUAGUGACAUAUUUCUCCUUAACGAAUGAACUGACAAACCGCUAGAUCAAAAUUAUGUCAAUCGGAUUUAUUGAUUACAUAUUCUUUACACUAUUUUGCCUGUAUAUCAAGAAAUUGAAAUAAAGUCGUGGAAUCAGUUGUACUCAUA